AUCCCGCUAACCUCCUCCUAGGGUUCGUCGUCGCCUCCCUUCCCGCUGCAACCCUCCCGUCCACUUCCUCUGGUCGCAACCUCCUCACGUUGUCCUCCACGCCAGGUUUGGGCGGAGGCCGUCCCGCACUCGCCCUCCUCAUGGAGCCGCCGCUGCCGUGCCUCCUCCCCCACGUCCAUCUCCGCACGGGCAGCCUUGCCGCCACCCCCGCCUGGCCUCCUUUCCUUUUUUCUCCCCAUCUCGGCCUGUACCUUCGUCAUCCAUUCCAGGAGGGGGCUGUUGCCUCUGCACACCAUCGCUUCGGUACGUGGGAGGCCGCUGCAGGGCGGGAUCUAGCCGCCGCACCCACAGCUAAGUUUCCUCCCAUCCCCGAUUUCAUUCCUCCAUGUGCUCUCCUCCCAUGGCGGUGCCCUAAUAGCCCAAGGGAUAGCAGCUGGCUCGUCGUGGUUUUUCUCCGACGAGGCUCCUCACGUAUGGCAGCGGCAGACGGCAGUUGGAUUGUACACCAAAUCCAGCAGCUAGCAAGGCUUCUUGAUUUUUGUCCGAGUGCUUCUGAUAUGAUAUCCAGCUUCCAUUUGAAUUUUCAUGAGACACGCUGUGUAGCUAUGACAAUGAGCUAUUUUAAAUUAGUUAUUCUGGAGAAAAUUUCAGUUCAUUAGUGAUUACUUGCAGCAAAUUUAUUCAAAGGUUGGAUGGAUCUCUGAGUUCUGUCCGUCUAAUGGAAGUAUGGAACUUGAAAUUGUGCAGGAUGAGCUCGGGUUUGACAUCGUGCAGGGGCAAGCAAUGUGUUCAAGAAAAUGCUUGUGAAGAAAUAUGAACGUGGUUGUGUCAGGUUAAAAGUAUCUAACUUAUCCAUCUGUCAUUUCAAACUUCUACAGAAUAUCUGGAAGAAAAAAUUUUGAGCUGGCAGAAUUUACGUCUCUUCCAGUAGUUUUUUUUAUUCAACAUGUAAUCCUAAUUUCUUGAAAGCAUGCACAUGUUCUUUUGCAUAUUUCAAUGGAAGCUCCUACUACUACUCCCCCCCCCCCCCCACCCCACCCCCCACCCCACUCGUUGUUUCGUGACUCUUUAUAUUGAUUUUACCUCGCUUCCAGUAGAGGAUUCUCAGUAGUGUUCCCAUUUGUAUCUUCAAGCUUGUAUAAUGGUGAUCUAUGUGUGUGCCCCGCUGUCUAACCAUGGCAUGGGCCGGGCUGAAGCCGGAGCGGGUAGAAGGAGCUCCGCCUCCUUGCCGCCAACGGCAGGAACAACAAGGGAUCAACUUCGACGAGUUUACCUACCGCAGAUAGGAGGGCAAAACUCUGGGAUGGCUCCAAAUGGCAUUAAUAAUAGACAUUCAGAAGUCCAGAACCAAUGAUAGCAUAUUAGGAGCUCUCCUAGCUCAACACCGGGUGCAUGUUAUCUGAUCAGUGAGGGUGAGAAUUAUCAUUGAGGUCUGUGUCAAAGUGUCCACUAAAGGCAAUAUCACCUUAGCUUGUUCCAGGAUCAAGAAAGCUGCAGCUUGUGGGUAUGUGUUCCUUUCUGCAUUUCUGAAGAUUUUUUUUGUAGCAGAAGCUAAUGCACAUUUGGUGAAGUUUAUGGGUCAUGAGAUGGAUGGAUCCAUGGUCAUCAAUAAUCACCGGGUAUCAUCAAAUGUGUUGUUACAUCAGACCGGGCAAGGCCUGUGUCACGGGGAAUUGGGAGGAGACUAGCAGCUUGGUGCCUUCUGUUCUGCCUUCUGCACUUUUAGGAAACUAAUGUUUUUGGAGGCCUGCAAGUGUUUACUUCAAUUUAAGUUACUUCUCGACUAUUAUCUUUAUAGAUUUUUUGAAUCCCAAGAAUAAUUUAUGCCAUAUAAUAAUACGUUCAAGAUAUAACCAAA